rnacentral:sRNA from 1 species
UCCAUUGAUAGUGUCCUUUCUGUGUGAU